UUUUUUAAUGAAAAGAGGUUGGGUUUCUAUCAGUAAUCAGUAUAGUUCCAGAGGAAUUUUCAACAUGAACAAUGAUCCUCAGCAGUAGGCAGAGUGAACUCGUGAUUGGUACUCUCCCUCACUAUAGCUUAGCAAAUGCAGCGUAUAGAUAAUUAGAAUUCAGAUGCUAAAGUUAAGAUGAAUAGAGUAGGUUAAACUCCGAACCAUAAUUUCAGUAUUGAGAUUAAUCACUCGAACAAGCUUAUGCUACUAAAAUCAACCCUCAAAUUCUAAGCUCUAAGCUUAAUCCAGUGCUUUCCUUUGACAUUCCAUUUUGCUUUUCUCUUGAAGGGUGUUUUUGUUCAUCGGGUUGAGCCUACUGCUCCAGCAAGCAGUGUUUUGCGAAAGGUAACAUGUAGUAAUUACAUCCAGUUCACAUAUUUUUGCUGGAGCCUACUCUCCAAUUUUUGCUAAUCUGUCCCACAUAAUUUUUCUUCAUCUUUCCACACAAUUUUUCUUCUUGCCACAUAAUUUUUGCUGCUGCCAUGAUUGAUCUGGCUCAGGAUAUUAGCUUCCUAUUAGCUGCUUGAUCUGUGCUGUUCUUGCCUCAUAAUUUUUGCUGCUGCCAUGUUUGACAAAACAUAGUGCUAUACAGCCAUCUACAAAAAUAAAAUGAUGCAUUGAGCACAUCCCCCCUCGGUUAGCAAUUUUGCAGAUGUAGAAGUACAGUUCCAGUAAUGGUUAACCACUAUCUAGGUGCUUAUUUUCACAAGGGGUGUUACCUUCUAAUAAUCAUUCACAUGUUCUGUUUAAAACAAUACACAUAAAUGGCACCAUUUGGUGUACCUAUGUACAGUUUAAAAUAUCAAAUUGUACCCACCGUUGCAAAUUAAAAAAAGAUGCAUUACACAUAAAUUGUUCUCCUGGCAUCGUCAGACCCAGAGAUAGUUGUAGCAGCUUUGGAAACUCUUGCUGCAUUGGUGAAAAUAAACCCUUCAAAGUUGCAUAUGAAUGGAAAGCUAAUUAGAUGUGGAGCUAUAAACCCCCAUUCUUCUAUCAACCUGUUAAUUAAGGAUACUUACGCCACGUUGUGCACUGCAAGGGCUGCAGGGCCAGCGUCAAGAAGUACACCUUGCUCAAGAACGCCUUUGCCGUCCUCGCUGCGGCGGCGGUGGCCGCGUCCAUCCUGGUGGCGACCAGGCAGUGGAAGGCUAUCUUGCUGGCAGUGUCGGCCGUGCUAGCCGCGGCGUCUUAUGCGUGUGAUGCGAUGCUUUCUUUGAUAACAACAAAAUUUAUUAGAAAUCAUAGGAGGCUGUAAUGACUGUAGCGGAACUGUAUUUAGUAGGUACAAGGAAAAUGGAGGAAAGGGCUCCUCUUGCCCUUUGCAUAUUUGUAUCCGAUAAAUGAUUGAUCUUUUGGCAAUAUAGAGCUUCAUGUCAGCAGCAG
rnacentral:lncRNA from 1 species